AUUGAACGCUGGCGGCAUGCUUUACACAUGCAAGUCGAACGGCAGCGCGGGCUUCGGCCUGGCGGCGAGUGGCGAACGGGUGAGUAAUGCAUCGGAACGUGCCCAGCAGUGGGGGAUAGCCCGGCGAAAGCCGGAUUAAUACCGCAUACGACCUGAUGGUGAAAGCGGGGGACCGAAAGGCCUCGCGCUAUUGGAGCGGCCGAUGUCGGAUUAGCUAGUUGGUGGGGUAAAGGCUUACCAAGGCGACGAUCCGUAGCUGGUCUGAGAGGACGACCAGCCACACUGGAACUGAGACACGGCCCAGACUCCUACGGGAGGCAGCAGUGGGGAAUUUUGGACAAUGGGGGCAACCCUGAUCCAGCCAUGCCGCGUGCGGGAAGAAGGCCUUCGGGUUGUAAACCGCUUUUGUUCGGGAAGAAAUCCUCUGGGCUAAUACCCCGGGGGGAUGACGGUACCGGAAGAAUAAGCACCGGCUAACUACGUG
rnacentral:rRNA from 1 species